rnacentral:tRNA from 1 species
GUUUAGGUAGCUCAGUUGGUUAGAGCAAAGGACUGAAAAUCCUUGUGUCGGUGGUUCAAAUCCACCUCUAGACA